rnacentral:rRNA from 1 species
AUGAUUCCAGGACCUGGAAUCAUACCAGCCGAUGGUUUGAAGCACUCCUCUGGUUUGAAGGAUAGAUACCUUCCUGGGAUCAAGUGCAUCCUAACUCACCUGCUACCAUAUAACUGGAAUUACCGAUGCAAGUCGAAGAAGGAUUGGCCGGUGCUGCCGGCUGGUGUCAAGUUCGAUCGCACGGAUCAGGAGCUGAUCGAGCACCUUGAGGCCAAGGUGAGUGCUGACAGCGUGAGAUUUCAGUCUCUCAUCGAUAUGUUCAUACCAACCAUCGACAGCGAGCACGGCAUAUGCUACACCCAACCUGAGAAACUUCCAGGUAUCACACUGAGUGGCCUAAGGAAGCAUUUCUUCCAGCGCAAUUCCAGGGCGUUCAAAAGGGGCACGUGGAUGCGUCGCAAGAUACAGUCGGAGUGCGGCAUGCACGCGAUGUGGCACAAGACCGGCAAUACCUUGCCGGUGAUGGUCAACGGCCAGCAGACGGGCAGCAAAAAAGGUUCUGGUGCUGCACACCAACAAGAACUUCGACCAGCAGAGGACCAACUGGGUGAUGCACCAGUACCACCUCGGGGACCUGGAGCAAGAGAAGGAGCGGGAGCUGGUCCUCUGCAAGAUUUUCUACCAGACGAACACUAG